CUAGCAGUCUAUAGCAGCCUAAAAAUGCUGGAUCAGGUGGCAGGUGGGAACUCCAAAGCUAAGCAGGGUAGGGCCUGGUUACUACCUGAAAGGGAUAACUCCUGGA
rnacentral:rRNA from 1 species